CAACGGAUCAAUCAUAUUCUUGAGCAUUAUUUGAGGUUUUAUCAACUAUGAAUAAGAUGAUUGGACUUCCUACUUGUUGUUGGUAGAAUUUUUAUGUAGCACAAUUCAUGCAUGUACACAAUAAAUGCCAUUUUAUUCAAACUGCAAUCAUCAUUCAAAGUUGGAUAUGAUAGAAUCUUCAAAGAUGGCAAAUCUAACAACAAAGGAGUUUGCUAUGAAGAUGGCCAAACUUCAAGCAAUUAUGAAGACUCACCUAGAAAGAGCUCAAAAAUAUUAUAAGCUAGUAGUGGAUGAAUUGAGGAAGGAACAUCCUCC
rnacentral:lncRNA from 1 species